UUCUCCAGCUUCCAGAAGCGCCCAUGCAGAAAACCAACUCCUCCAAGUUAACGAGCUCCCGGAUUCUCUAAUCUCUCCUAUUUCACUUCUGAAGCACCAAUUACCAACACCCGCACCUAUCUGAUCAAUCCUUACCCAGCCCGAUUCUGCAUCUCAAAUUUUCUGGUCAGGGAAAAAAAAAUGAGUAGCCUGUCAAGUCGCACUAUUUAUGUUGGAAAUCUUCCUGGUGAUAUUCGAUUGAGAGAAGUUGAGGAUCUUUUCUACAAGUAUGGUCCUAUUGUUGACAUUGAUUUGAAAAUCCCUCCGAGACCUCCUGGUUAUGCUUUUGUGAAGUUUGAGAAUCGUCGUGAUGCUGAAGAUGCUAUUCGCUAUCGAGAUGGUUAUAAAUUUGAUGGUUUCCGAUUGCGUGUUGAAUUUGCACAUGGCGGGCGGGGAUAUUCAUCAUCGGUUGACCAUUAUAGUAGUUAUAGCAGUGGUGGUAGUAGCCGUGCCGUUUCUAAGCGUUCAGACUAUCGUGUUCUGGUCACUGGAUUACCCCCAUCAGCUUCAUGGCAAGACCUGAAGGAUCACAUGCGCAAAGCUGGUGAUGUAUGCUUCUCUGAAGUCUUUCGUGAGCGUGGUGGCAUGACUGGGAUCGUGGAUUAUACUAACUAUGAUGAUAUGAAGUAUGCUAUCAGGAAACUUGAUGACUCAGAAUUCCGAAAUGCAUUUUCUCGUGCAUACAUACGGGUGAGGGAAUAUGAUCGACGGAGUUAUUCUAGGAGUCUCAGCCGUGAUUCAAGGAGAAGCUAUUCUCGAAGCUAUAGCCGCAGUCCUUAUAGGUCACGAAGUCGAAGCCGCAGUUUGAGUCGGGAUCACUGCUAUAGAGGCAGCAGCAGAAGUUUGUCACCAAAGGUAAAACUUUCAAGACGUUCAAUAUCUCUUUCAAGGCAAGUUUCUUCUCUGCCUCCUUUUCUGUGCACUUGUUUUUCUAAUUUAAGUUUCUAAGGUGAUUAUACAUUUACAUGAUGGGUGUUCUUAUUAUAAAAUCCCUUGGCGCCAAAUCUGUUAUCUUUCUUGACUGUAUUUUUAAUUAAAUUUUAUCAGUGUUUUGAUAGGCAGAACUGCAGUUUGAGCUCUUUGAUAAGUUUCCCCUUCACUUUUGUUUAGUUAUGAUGCGAAAUUAGAGGAGUUAGCCGAUUUCUUGUGCAAAUCAUACAUGUAUAGAUAGUCCGACUUCCAUAAAAUUUCUCAAUCCUUGGCAAAUUUUCCCUGAUUCAUUAGGAUUCCUGCCAGCUGGGUCUUCCAUGAUUUUUAACCUCGACUGGAAUAGCUAAGUAUCUUCGCGUGUUAUAAGCAUAGGAAUGUUUUUCCAUGAUUUUAGUUAUCAGAAAAGACCUUUAACUCUGCUUUAUCGGUCUAUAUUAUAUUACGUACGGAUUCUUUUUCGAGAUUGACUGUGCUUCAAUAUUUGCCUUCACCUUUAUAUUCAUUACAUACCUUUUUUGGUCAGUUGUAGUUGACUGGGCCUCUCAUUUCGUUUGUGCGUUAGUGGAGUAUAAAAUUGAUUUUCCAGCAUGAUACGAAAAACUUUAUUACAACAUUCACUCUGUUCUCAUAAAACCUUAUGCUGCUCCAUAUACUUGUCAGCAUAAUUCUUCAUAUUUUGGAAGGUGGAGAGGGAAUUGUAAACUGGUUCAUCUGGUUUGCCGCUAAUUGUAUAAUGUUCCCUAGGUUGACUUUUGUUAUCUAAAUGUGGCAUUUUGCAUAACCUCUGGACUGCCUGUUAGGAUCUUGAUGGCAUGUGGUGCUCAAAUGCCUGCAGCUUAGUGAUUGAGACCGGAUGGCUGUAUAUGGGUGAGUUGGAAUCUAAAAGCUGGAUUAUCCUGAGCUAAGCGGAAUUGGCACUGACUAUUGCUUAUCUGAAAUAUUACAUUCCCGAAACUACUUCAAUAUAACAUAUGCUCUAAGUUCUGGAGCUGAACUGGACACUUCCUUUAGGAUUUUACUUUGUGAUGAUGUAAUGUCUUGGAUUUAGCAUCCCCGCAGCUUGUCCAAGAAUCCUACGCAGCCAGGAAUAGAUUUAAUUCAGACUUCGAAUGAGAUACUGAGUCCUAUUAAUUUUCCACUUGGCAGCUGCGUUAGACUUGUGGUAGAUUUGUUUCUUCCUUUGGGUUGUCGGCUUGUGGCAACUUUGGUGUGAAACUGAUAUUGGGCUUGUGAGUCAAGCAUUUUGAUGGAUCAUUAUGGAUAUUUGAUUGGGUUGUUUCUUCAUAAAUUUGCAGAUCCCACUCAAGAUCCAGAUCUCCAAAUUCAUCUGUAAGUAUUAUCCAACUUGCAGUACCUGAGAUUAUUUAAAGGUGGGGACAAAAGGAACGAAAAUACGUGGUUGUCUAAUUUUCUCUUCACAUUUGCUUAAUCUUUGCCCUCUGCAUUUUGUUUGCCAUAGAAGAACUAAGUAGAUAAUAGGAUAAUGGAACACGCCAGCCAAAAGAGGGUUUGAAUACAAACGGUAUUUUAUAUGAACAUGGAUUCAUUCCAUAACAUAAUUGUACGGUACUGUUCUUUGUGCACUAAGCAGCCUUCACCUUAUAGAAGUUACAGUCCUCGCCAUAAAAGCUUGUUGCGAUCCCGUUCACCUUCGGUGAGGCCUGACCGCGGCAGCUCUGUUGACUCUGCAUAUCGCUAUUGAGAGAUGAGUGCUUUUUUUUGCUGGCAUUUUAGGACGUGCAAGGUUCGUAUGUAGCUCCUAAUGGUGUUGGCUGAGUUAUGAAUAAAAGGGGCAGAUGGUACAUUAUGAACCAGAACUAAAUUAUCUGUAUGGUUAUAAUAAUCUCUUCUUGGUUCUCGCUAA